CCGGACAGCGUCACCGGGCCGAGGACGCCGACGUUCCACGUCUCGUAGUGGGUGCCCUGGUUCUGCAGGAGGACGAACAACAAGAGAUUGUUCAUGUUUCAGGAUCACAAGAUGGUCUGAACUCUGAACUGGAAGAAGAGUUCCAAUGGCAAAGAUUUCGUUACUCUGAAUUUCUUGCGAACUUACAGGGAGGCCGACGGCGGCGCUGAGGAUGGAGAUCUUGUUGCUGCCCUGCCACAUCUUGACGUACCCGCUGUACGUCAGCUUGGGACUGUCGUAGCCGCCAUACGC
rnacentral:lncRNA from 1 species